AAGGACGUAGCGCAGGAAGCGCAACAAAUAACACGGACACGUAAGGAUGCCUGCCAGGAUGGUGGGGAGAAAGGGAAGUCAGGGAAACAGUCUGCAAAACCCCGCUUAGGCGGGGUUUU
rnacentral:sRNA from 1 species